GGAAAAUAUGCUUAAUGGAUUACUAAAUGAACUUGAAACUUGUCAAGGGAAACAACAGACACGCUACUCCUUUCGAAGACAAUUGCCAGGAAAUUGUGUGCAAUCUCCAAAAGGGAUCUGUUCAUCGUCCUGUUCUUAUUUCAUGGCAAAUCACACUAAAACAUUUCACAACAUACUGACUGGAAAACACACAGCCUACGACACACAGACACAAAUCUAAAAACACUUUCAGCCACAGACACGUAACCACACACAAGCACGAGCACACACACAAGCACGAGCACACACGCACACAGACACGCAACCAAGCUCGAGCAGACACACACACACACAAGCAUGAGCACGCACGCACGAGCACACACACACACACACACACAAUAGCUUCUUUCUGCUCUCUGAUUAUGCCCUCUUGUCCACCAUGUUAGAAAGGCCCCACUGUGUGAACGUUGAAUUUCCAAUAGGCCGAUUCCAGUUGCAAUCCCCUGCCCAGGCCUGUACCUCUGUUGACCCUCCCACAGGCCUGUUCCCCUCCUCCUACCCUUCCCAGACAACCUGGCGCAAAUCCCAAACACAACAGACUCUCUCCUGGCCUAACCCCCCUCUUGUGGGUUAGGCCAGGAAAAACAUGCUGAGAUGUGGAAAAUCCUAUAAAUCAAAACAUAACAAUAUCCUGCAUAGAUCUCGAACUAACCUCAAACAAUCCAAACUCAAUAAAAUAGGGAAUGCAACUAUCUACAGUGCAUUCAGAACGUAUUCAGACCCCUUCACUUUUUCCACAUUUAGUUACAUUACAGCCUUAUUCUAAAAUGGAUGAAAUACAACAUUUUCCUCAUCAAUCUACACACAAUACCCCAUAAUGACAAAGCUAAAACAGGUUUAGAAAUGUUUGCAAAUUUAUUACAAAUAAAAAAUAGAAAUAUCUUUACAUAAGUAUUCAGACCCUUUGCUAUGUGACCCCAAAUUGAGCUCAGGUGCAUCCUGUUACCAUUGAUCAUCCUUGAGAUCUUUCUACAACCUGAAUGGAGUCCACCUGUGGUAAAUUCAAUUGAUUGGACAUGAUUUAGAAAGGCACACACCUGUCUAUAUAAGGUCCCACAGUUGACAGUGCAUGUCAGAGCAGAAUUUUUCCGAGACAGGAUUGUGUCGAAGCACAGAUCUGGGGAAGGGUACCAAAACAAUUCUACAGCAAUGAAGGUGCCUGAGAACACAGUGACCUCCAUCAUUUUUAAAUGGAAGAAAGCUGGCCGCCUGGCCAAACUGAGCAAUUGAGGAAGAAGGGCCUUCAUCAGGAAAGCGACCAAGAACCCGAUGGUAACUCUGACAGAGCUCCAGAGCUCCAGAGCUCCUCUGUGGAGAUGGGAGAACCUUCCAGAAGGGCAAUCAUUUCUGCAGCACUCCACCAAUCGGGCCACUCCUCAGUAAAAGGCACAUGACAGCCCGCUUGGAGUUUGCCAAAAGGCACCUAAAGGACUCUCAGACCAUGAAAAACAAGACUCUCUGGUCUGACGAAACUCUUUGGCCUGAAUGGGUGGAGUGGUUGUCGGCAGCAUCAUGCUGCGGGGGGUGUUUUUUCAGCGGCAACUCCACAAAUGCAGGUUUGUCAAGCUUGUAGCAUCAUCCGAAGAAGACUCAAGGCUGUAUUCGCUGUCAAAAGUGCUUCAACAAAGUACUGAAUAAAGGG
ensembl:lncRNA